UUUCAAUUAACAGAAUUCGCGCUAGCAAGUCAAGCGUAGCCGCCCAGAUAUUCUUUAACAUUGAUUAAAUAGAGGAUUAACCCAAGAAUUUGUGGAGUAGCGUCACUUUUAAAACUGAAGAGGGAAAAGGAAGACUUCUACAAGCAGCUUCUUCGUGUGUUUCUUCAGAGGGAGCAAUGCAGGAACUUCAUUUAUAAGUAAAAGAUCGGGGUUCAAGAGGACAUCCAGGCCGAGUUUUGAGCCGAGUCUGACAUGACAGCAGCUGCCCCACGUGGAGAUAAAUCUGCCCCUGAAAAACAGGAAGCAGCAGAGGUAUGCUGGGGAAAAUUGGGCGAUUUUCCACUGCAGAGACCCCCCCUUCCCCCUUUUUUUUCCUUGUCAUGUGAUCCGGAGCUGUGGAGUGACUGCAAGGAUGACGACCUCACCCCCAUGUCGCGGCUGACUCACCCCACCCAAACUGCUUUUCUCAUGGAAGUACGC
rnacentral:lncRNA from 1 species